rnacentral:tRNA from 1 species
AAAAAGAUAAGCUAAUUAAGCUACUGGGUUCAUACCUCAUUUAUAGAGACCUCACCUCUCUUCUUUUUA